GGCAAAACAGGAUAAAAUGGAAACCAGCCACUACAAGGAUUUGUCGGAUAUCAUAUGUUUCUGCUAUGGCUGCUUCAUACACUACGCCAAUGAGCCCUUGCCAACGGUGGCACAAUAUAUAUAUUACCUUGGUCUUUGACCCAGGGAAAAUUUAAAUUUGAUUCAGACGCAUAUGAGCCUCGUUUUCAGAUAGGAAAUUGUCUUUCUCGUGAAUAUACCUGUUCCAAAGUCGAAAGAAGGCGAAGACGACAGAAAAACAAGAAGGCAAAGAAAGAAUCGAGGAAUAUUUACCUGGUUACAUACAGCUUGGGAG
rnacentral:sRNA from 1 species